rnacentral:rRNA from 1 species
GAUUGAACGCUGGCGGCAUGCCUUACACAUNNAAGUCGAACGGUAACGCGGGGCAACCUGGCGACGAGUGGCGAACGGGUGAGUAAUAUAUCGGAACGUGCCCAGUUGUGGGGGAUAACUGCUCGAAAGAGCAGCUAAUACCGCAUACGACCUGAGGGUGAAAGCGGGGGAUCGCAAGACCUCGCGCAAUUGGAGCGGCCGAUAUCAGAUUAGGUAGUUGGUGGGGUAAAGGCCUACCAAGCCGACGAUCUGUAGCUGGUCUGAGAGGACGACCAGCCACACUGGGACUGAGACACGGCCCAGACUCCUACGGGAGGCAGCAGUGGGGAAUUUUGGACAAUGGGGGCAACCCUGAUCCAGCCAUGCCGCGUGCGGGAAGAAGGCCUUCGGGUUGUAAACCGCUUUUGUCAGGGAAGAAAAGACUCCUACUAAUACUGGGGGUUCAUGACGGUAC